rnacentral:lncRNA from 1 species
UAAAAUUUGGUUCGAAUUAUCAAAGUGUCUGAACGAUGGAAAUUCAACAUUCAGGAUUUAAGUGGCAGCAGUAAAAGUUUUCGAAAUACCAAGUUUGUUAGUUGCCAGACCACAGUGAAUCAUGCUGUGAUAAGCCGGACACUGACAGGGGCACGAAAAGUCGUAUGAAGUUUGAAAUUCUAGAAGUAAUGCCGUGAAAACACUUGAUGUGCAACACAUCACUGUUUCUUUAGUUGGAAAAUAGAAUAAACGUACUGCUACGUUCACAGUGCACUUGAGAGGGCCGCGUUUAGGUGCCAACCCGUGCGCAGCAAUUUUUUUUUUUUUUUUCUUUCAGGGCGUGGGGUGUGGGGACCUCUGCACCAUUCGAGGCAGUUUUUUUCCGCCUUAAAAUACAUGUUCUUGCAGUGUUUGUACCAGUUUCAUUAUUACCUGGCAAUUACUAACAUUUGUUGAGGGUGCUUGUUCUUGAUCAGCAGUACUAGGCACGAGUGGCCUAGUGUACUUUUUUUUUUUUUUUUUCCUCGCCGGCCGGCGCGUCGUGAUACUCGUGCACAAUAAAACAAACGCAUGCAGUGCAUUAACCAAUCAACGAGUGAAAUUAUUUUGUUUUUGGGGUCCCGCGAGUCGCAUUACCUGAUGCUACGCAAUAUAUGGGCAGCUCUUUCGAACUGCGUAAUUUGGCAGCUUCCACGCCGCCAUUUGAAAUCGGGGGAAGGCACACUCAUUGAAUACUCAAGCUCGAGUCGUCUGAAGUUGACAGCAAGGUUGCGGUACAGCUUCCCGCCCAAGAUUGAAUCACCACGUGAUAGAUGAUGCAUUAAAUAAACGGCUUUGUUAAGAGUUCAUUGAACACAAAGUAAAACACUGUCCGCGUCCUCAGCAAAACGCCGGGCGUUUUUUCAAAUGGACUCUCUGUCGACUAAAAUAACCUGUAAUGUGCUCUACCGGCACAUUGCACAUAAAAGUUUUACAUUACUUGACCUCUCAUCGCGUUUUGUCUCAGCCGAAAGCAGAGGCAAGUGUCUCAUAACACCUGCGCCAGCAGAUGUGCUACCGCCGGAACAAAGGCUACGCCUUAACGUGCGUUUCAAUGAACAAUUAAACGCUGAUUGCGCUUACUUAAGCUCUAUGUGCUUUGUCGCAUCGCGCUGAGCUAAUGAUUGACUUCAUUCUUACGACAAACGAAGCAACCUUGCUGAACCAGCCACAAGUACAACACGAGUGUUUGAUAAGAGGUACAAUAAAGUGUCAAGGGAUUGGCUUCCCCCUUGAGAGACAGCCUCACAUUUGUCACCAGUUGGCUUUCCCUUGGUCCGGUGUGCACUGUCAAUGAUGGCCUCCAGGCAGCGGCCGAACUCCUCCAGCACCGUGCGCUCUACAUCAGCAAAAGGCCUCUUGAGUCGCUCGGCCUCGUCAGCACGUGCAAGUAGGCACUGGCAGGUGGCCUCCACCACUUCCUGGGUGAUGAAGGCAAAUGGCAGCCUGCACACAGAAACAUGCAAGUUUUGCAGAGUGAAGUAUGCAACAACACUCAUUCUCAGCCCCACGGUGACUGCACAGGGGGCUCAUAAAUCAACAUGAGACUGCGUGUGAAGCUGCAUUGCGAUGAAGCAAAGUUGCAAGCUGCUUGGGCCUUCAUGAUACUGGAGCAGGUCGCAUGGGCAGAUCACAGGCCGACAUCUUGGUGCGAGCAGCAGCCUGCUGUUGCACACGCACUUCAGCUGCGUCUGCCAACUGCAUCAAUGUCUUGCGCUCCGAGCUGUCUUCAAAGUUCUUGCAGCCAACACAUUUACACAUACUGCUGCAGAGGAUCUUGGCCUGUAAUCGUGAACAAAACAUGUGUCGCUUUUCA